ACAGAGGGUGCAAACGUCGCUCGGAAUUACUGGGCGUAAAGCGCGUGUAGGCGGACUGGUGUGUCGGAUGUGAAAUCCCCAGGCUCAACCUGGGAACUGCAUUCGAAACUGCCAGCCUUGAGUGGUGGAGAGGGAAGUGGAAUUCCUGGUGUAGAGGUGAAAUUCGUAGAUAUCAGGAGGAACACCAGUGGCGAAGGCGGCUUCCUGGACACCAACUGACGCUGAGACGCGAAAGCGUGGGGAGCAAACAGGA
rnacentral:rRNA from 1 species